UACGGAGGGGGCUAGCGUUGUUCGGAAUUACUGGGCGUAAAGCGCACGUAGGCGGCUUUGUAAGUUAGAGGUGAAAGCCUGGAGCUCAACUCCAGAAUUGCCUUUAAGACUGCAGAGCUAGCAGGUGAGAGAGGUAAGUGGAAUUCCGAGUGUAGAGGUGAAAUUCGUAGAUAUUCGGAAGAACACCAGAGGCGAAGGCGGCUUACUGGCUCAUACUGGACGCUGAGGUGCGAAAGCGUGGGGAGCAAACAGG
rnacentral:rRNA from 1 species